rnacentral:rRNA from 1 species
AUUGAACGCUGGCGGCAGGCCUAACACAUGCAAGUCGAACGGUAACAGGAAGAAGCUUGCUUCUUUGCUGACGAGUGGCGGACGGGUGAGUAAUGUCUGGGAAACUGCCUGAUGGAGGGGGAUAACUACUGGAAACGGUAGCUAAUACCAUAACGUCGCAAGACCAAAGAGGGGGACCUUCGGGCCUCUUGCCAUCGGAUGUGCCCAGAUGGGAUUAGCUAGUAGGUGGGGUAACGGCUCACCUAGGCGACGAUCCCUAGCUGGUCUGAGAGGAUGACCAGCCACACUGGAACUGAGACACGGUCCAGACUCCUACGGGAGGCAGCAGUGGGGAAUAUUGCACAAUGGGCGCAAGCCUGAUGCAGCCAUGCCGCGUGUAUGAAGAAGGCCUUCGGGUUGUAAAGUACUUUCAGCGGGGAGGAAGGGAGUAAAGUUAAUACCUUUGCUCAUUGACGUUACCCGCAGAAGAAGCACCGGCUAACUCCGUG